CAGGAUCCAAUCUGGAAUAUCACAUUGCAUGUAAAACAAGUAUUUUUUUGGCCAAGAUAUUCUAGAGGAUGCAAAAAUAAAUUAGCCCUGACCUAACAUCUGCCGCCAAUCCUCCUCUUUUUGCUGAGGAAGACUGGCCCUGAGCUAACAUCCAUGCCCAUCUUCCUCUACUUUAUAUGUGGGACGCCUACCACACCAUGGCUUGCCAAGUGGUGCCACAUCCUCACCAGGGAUCCGAACCAGCGAACCCACGAACCCCAGGCUGCUGAAGUGGGACAUGCGCACUUAACUGCUGGGCCACUGGGCUGGCCCUGUAAUUUCUUGAUUAUUAAAAAUGAUCCACUUGUGGUGACAAAAAUGCUAGGUAUAUCUCAGCCCACCCCAACUUCUCUCUCUUGAGAUUCUCCUCACUUCUCUCUGGGUCAUUUGCCCCAAUUCACUAAUUCCUGUCAUUUCUUAAGCACAAUAGUCUAACUACCUCUGUGAAAAAAAAAAAAGGCAUCUGUAAGUGUUAUAGGGAGUUAAGAGGAAAGGAGUGUGCCUGUAUGGAGGUCAGAAUUUUCAAAGUGCACCUGUAGGACAGCACUAGAGAUAUCCAAGAGGAAAAUGAGUUGGAGCGAACAAGAGUAGAGGCUAUGAGAGCCAGCUGCCCUUUUCCUGUUGGGAGUCUCCAACCUUUGACAAACCUCAGCUAGAUUCUGUCAAGGGAGACAGAACCUUCCUUAUGAUCUGUUUAUCCAACUGCCCCUGGAAGGCUGGAAGUGUGCCUUACACUUUCUUGUGUCCUCAGCUCCUCCUAGGGCAUAAUAUUAGUCUGAAAUUGUGGAUUUUGUAGGUCAAAAAAUGUUGAACAGUUGCAAUUUCAUGUGGCUCAAGUGUUUCUUGUUGUUGAUCCUGAUGAUUAUGAUGAAGAAUGUCUCUCAAUUCUGUGAUAUCAAGGUGUUCUUUCACAGGUAGCUCCAGGAGGCUACUGGUCCCAUUCACAGAUUCACAAUGAGCCUCAACCUAGUAGGCCUCAACUUACAGUAAUAGGAAUGAUCUCUACAGAGAUAUACUAUUACAAUGGAAGGGAGAAAUUAAUCAUGUAACUUUCAAUUUGUGUCCUAUUACCAGACUACACAACUUGUAAAAUGCCAU
rnacentral:lncRNA from 1 species